AUUGAACGCUGGCGGCAUGCCUUACACAUGCAAGUCGAACGGCAGCACGGGUGCUUGCACCUGGUGGCGAGUGGCGCAAGGGUGAGUAAUACAUCGGAACAUGUCCUGUAGUGGGGGAUAGCCCGGCGAAAGCCGGAUUAAUACCGCAUACGAUCCACGGAUGAAAGCGGGGGACCUUCGGGCCUCGCGCUAUAGGGUUGGCCGAUGGCUGAUUAGCUAGUUGGUGGGGUAAAGGCCUACCAAGGCGACGCUCAGUAGCUGGUCUGAGAGGACGACCAGCCACACUGGGACUGAGACACGGCCCAGACUCCUACGGGAGGCAGCAGUGGGGAAUUUUGGACAAUGGGCGAAAGCCUGAUCCAGCAAUGCCGCGUGUGUGAAGAAGGCCUUCGGGUUGUAAAGCACGUUUGUCCGGAAAGAAAUCCUUGACUCUAAUACAGUCGGGGGAUGACGGUACCGGAAGAAUAAGCACCGGCUAACUACGUG
rnacentral:rRNA from 1 species